GACGAACGCUGGCGGCGUGCCUAAUACAUGCAAGUCGACCUUAGUGGCGAACGGGUGCGUAACCCGUGGGUAACCUGCCCCUCAGAAGGGGAUAACACUUGGCACAAGGUGCUAAUACCGUAUACUGAUGGAUGGACCCGCGGGGGAUUAGCUAGUUGGUGAGGUAACGGCUCACCAAGGCCACGAUGCAUAGCCGAACGGAGAGGGUGAUCGGCCACAGUGGGACUGAGACACGGACCAAACUCCUACGGGAGGCAGCAGUAGGGAAUCUUAGGCAAUGGACGAAAGUCUGACCGAGCAACGCCGCGUGAGUGAAGAAGGUUUUCGGAUCGUAAAACUCUGUUGUUAGAGAAGCGGUAUCUAACCAGAAAGCCACGGCUAACUACGUGCCAGCAGCCGCGGUAAUUC
rnacentral:rRNA from 1 species